UAAGCGGAGGAAAAGAAACUAACAAAGGAUUCCCCUAGUAACUGCGAGUGAAGCGGGAAAAGCUCAAAUUUAAAAUCUGGUGGUCUUUGGCCAUCCGAGUUGUAAUCUAGAGAAGCGUCUUCCGCGCUGGACCGUGCACAAGUCUCCUGGAACGGAGCGUCGUAGAGGGUGAGAAUCCCGUCUUUGGCAUGGACACACCAGGGCUUUUGUGAUGCGCUCUCGAAGAGUCGAGUUGUUUGGGAAUGCAGCUCAAAAUGGGUGGUGAACUCCAUCUAAAGCUAAAUAUUGGCGAGAGACCGAUAGCGAACAAGUACCGUGAGGGAAAGAUGAAAAGCACUUUGGAAAGAGAGUGAAACAGUACGUGAAAUUGUUGAAAGGGAAACGCUUGAAGUCAGUCGCGUCGACCGAGACUCAGCCUCGCCUCGGCUUGGUGUACUUCUCGGCCCGACGGGUCAGCAUCAAUUUCGCCUCUUGGAUAAUGGCGAGGGAAACGUGACACCUUUACGGUGUGUUAUAGUCUCUCGUCGCAUGCAAGGGUCGGGAUUGAGGAACUCAGCACGCGCCUUUGGGCGUCGGGGCUUUGCCUACGAUACGUGCUUAGGAUGUUGGCGUAAUGGCUUUAAACGACC
rnacentral:rRNA from 1 species